rnacentral:rRNA from 1 species
CCUACGGGGGGCUGCAGUGGGGAAUAUUGGACAAUGGGCGAAAGCCUGAUCCAGCCAUGCCGCGUGUGUGAAGAAGGCCUUCGGGUUGUAAAGCACUUUCAGUGGGGAAGAAAGCCUUGGGGCUAAUACCCUCGAGGAAGGACAUCACCCACAGAAGAAGCACCGGCUAACUCCGUGCCAGCAGCCGCGGUAAUACGGAGGGUGCGGGCGUUAAUCGGAAUUACUGGGCGUAAAGCGCGCGUAGGCGGUCUGAUAAGCCGGUUGUGAAAGCCCCGGGCUCAACCUGGGAACGGCAUCCGGAACUGUCAGGCUAGAGUGCAGGAGAGGAAGGUAGAAUUCCCGGUGUAGCGGUGAAAUGCGUAGAGAUCGGGAGGAAUACCAGUGGCGAAGGCGGCCUUCUGGACUGACACUGACGCUGAGGUGCGAAAGCGUGGGUAGCAAACAGGAUUAGAUACCCCAGUAGUC